AUUGAACGCUGGCGGCAUGCCUUACACAUGCAAGUCGAACGGCAGCACGGGGGCAACCCUGGUGGCGAGUGGCGAACGGGUGAGUAAUACAUCGGAACGUGCCCAGUCGUGGGGGAUAACGUAGCGAAAGUUACGCUAAUACCGCAUACGAUCUCUGGAUGAAAGCGGGGGACCGCAAGGCCUCGCGCGAUUGGAGCGGCCGAUGGCAGAUUAGGUAGUUGGUGGGGUAAAAGCUUACCAAGCCUCCGAUCUGUAGCUGGUCUGAGAGGACGAUCAGCCACACUGGGACUGAGACACGGCCCAGACUCCUACGGGAGGCAGCAGUGGGGAAUUUUGGACAAUGGGCGAAAGCCUGAUCCAGCAUGCCGCGUGCAGGACGAAGGCCUUCGGGUUGUAAACUGCUUUUGUACGGAGCGAAACGGCUUCCACUAAUACUGGGGGCUAAUGACGGUACCGUAAGAAUAAGCACCGGCUAACUACGUGCCAGCCGCCGCAGUAA
rnacentral:rRNA from 1 species